ensembl:ncRNA F12D9.8 ncRNA
UUUAUUUGAUAGAAGGUGCCACCUUCUUGAGUGCGCUUCACCGAUUUUUGAAGAUUUUGGAAGUUUAGUAUAGAUUAUAAUGAUUUAGUGGUGCGAGAAAAAUAGUGAUUGCAAGAUUUUAAACUAUGGAAAGCAAAGAAAUAUGAAUGUAAAGCGCAGAACACACAUUUAAAUGAAUUUAUACUAUUACAAGUGUAAAUUUUUGAGAUUACACGUUCGGCUUA